GUGGGGGAUAACGUAGGGAAACUUACGCUAAUACCGCAUACGACCUACGGGUGAAAGCGGGGGAUCGCAAGACCUCGCGCGAUUAGAUGAGCCGAUGUCCGAUUAGCUGGUUGGCGGGGUAAUGGCCCACCAAGGCGACGAUCGGUAGCUGGUCUGAGAGGAUGAUCAGCCACACUGGAACUGAGACACGGUCCAGACUCCUACGGGAGGCAGCAGUGGGGAAUAUUGGACAAUGGGCGCAAGCCUGAUCCAGCCAUGCCGCGUGGGUGAAGAAGGCCUUCGGGUUGUAAAGCCCUUUUGUCCGGAAAGAAAAGCACUGGAUUAAUACUUCGGUGUUCUGACGGUACCGGA
rnacentral:rRNA from 1 species